rnacentral:rRNA from 1 species
AUUGAACGCUGGCGGCAUGCCUUACACAUGCAAGUCGAACGGCAGCACGGGGGCAACCCUGGUGGCGAGUGGCGAACGGGUGAGUAAUACAUCGGAACAUGUCCUAGAGUGGGGGAUAACGCGUCGAAAGAUGUGCUAAUACCGCAUACGAUCUAUGGAUGAAAGUGGGGGACCGCAAGGCCUCACGCUCUUGGAGUGGCCGGUGUCGGAUUAGCUAGUUGGUGAGGUAAUGGCUCACCAAGGCGACGAUCCGUAACUGGUCUGAGAGGAUGAUCAGUCACACUGGAACUGAGACACGGUCCAGACUCCUACGGGAGGCUG